AAAUUAUUAGUUAUUUAAAGAUUAAUUAAUUUAGGCUUCUAACCUAAAAUAAAUGAAAUUUUCAUUUAAUCUU
rnacentral:tRNA from 1 species